GAUGAAGAACGUAGUGAAAUGCGAUAAGUAAUGUGAAUUGCAGAAUUCAGUGAAUCAUCGAAUCUUUGAACGCACAUUGCGCCCGCCAGUAUUCUGGCGGGCAUGCCUGUUCGAGCGUCAUUACAACCCUCAGGCCCCCGGGCCUGGCGUUGGGGAUCGGCGGAAGCCCCCUGCGGGCACAACGCCGUCCCCCAAAUACAGUGGCAGUCCCGCCGCAGCUUCCAUUGCGUAGUAGCUAACACCUCGCAACUGGAGAGCGGCGCGGCCACGCCGUAAAACACCCAACUUCUGAAUGUUGACCUCGAAUCAGGUAGGAAUACCCGCUGAACUUAAGCAUAUCAAUAAGCGGAGGA
rnacentral:misc_RNA from 1 species